AAGUCGUAACAAGGUUUCCGUAGGUGAACCUGCGGAAGGAUCAUUACCGAGCUUGUAGUGUCUUUCACACAUGGAGCGGGCCGACCCCCUAGUCGUGCCAGGGAGCCAGUCUCUGUCACCGUUCCCUGAUCGGGGAGCAGAGGCGGCUCUAGCGCCGUUCCCCGGCUUCGGCCGGGAGCUCGCCCGCCGCAGUAGCGGGGAAAGAACGGACUCGGUGCUUGACACCACAUAGCCUGUGCUUGAAAAGGAACAUACAAAUGCAGAACAACUGCAGACGGUGGAUCACUCGGCUC
rnacentral:misc_RNA from 1 species